rnacentral:rRNA from 1 species
AUUGAACGCUGGCGGCAGGCCUAACACAUGCAAGUCGAGCGAGCGGCGGACGGGUGAGUAAUGCCUGGGAAUUGCCCAGUCGAGGGUUAUAACAGUUGGACACGACUGCUAAUACCGCAUACUGUUGGCUUGCCCAGGUGGGAGUAGCUAGUUGGUGAGGUAAUGGCUCACCAAGGCGACGAUCCCUAGCUGGUCUUAGAGGAUGAUCAGCCACACUGGAACGGAGACACGGUCCAGAAUCCUACGGGAGGCAGCAGUGGGGAAUAUUGCACAAUGGGGGAAAACCUGAUGCAGCCAUGGCGCGUGUGUGAAGAAGGCCUUGGGGUUGUAAAGCACGUUCAGGGAGGAGGCGUUACUGGCAGAAGAAGCACCGGCUAACUCCGUGCCAGCAGCCGCGGUAAUAC